AGAGUUUGAUCCUGGCUCAGAUUGAACGCUGGCGGCAUGCUUUACACAUGCAAGUCGAACGGCAGCACGGGAGCUUGCUCCUGGUGGUGAGUGGCGAACGGGUGAGUAAUGCAUCGGAACGUAUCCAAUAAUGGGGGAUAACGCAUCGAAAGGUGUGCUAAUACCGCAUACGCCCUGAGGGGGAAAGUGGGGGACCGUAAGGCCUCACGUUAAUGGAGCGGCCGAUGUCGGAUUAGCUAGUUGGUGAGGUAAAGGCUCACCAAGGCGACGAUCCGUAGCUGGUCUGAGAGGAUGAUCAGCCACACUGGAACUGAGACACGGUCCAGACUCCUACGGGAGGCAGCAGUGGGGAAUUUUGGACAAUGGGGGCAACCCUGAUCCAGCCAUGCCGCGUGAGUGAAGAAGGCCUUCGGGUUGUAAAGCUCUUUCGCGAGGGAAGAAAACUUACUCAAUAACACUGGGUGAGGCUGACGGUACCUUGAUAAGAAGCACCGGCUAACUACGUGCCAGCAGCCGCGGUAAUACGUAGGGUGCGAGCGUUAAUCGGAAUUACUGGGCGUAAAGCGUGCGCAGGCGGUUUGACAAGUCAGAUGUGAAAGCCCCGGGCUCAACCUGGGAACUGCGUUUGAAACUGUCAGGCUAGAGUGUGUCAGAGGGAGGUAGAAUUCCACGUGUAGCAGUUGAAAUGCGUAGAGAUGUGGAGGAAUACCGAUGGCGAAGGCAGCCUCCUGGGAUAACACUGACGCUCAUGCACGAAAGCGUGGGGGAGCAAACAGGAAUUAGAUACCCUGGUAGUCCACGCCCCUAAAACGAUGUCUACUAGUUGUUGGGUGGAGUGAAAUUCCAUUAGUUAACCGCAGCCUAACGCGUUGAAGUUA
rnacentral:rRNA from 1 species